GACGAACGCUGGCGGCGUGCCUAAUACAUGCAAGUCGAACGCAGUGGGGACGGGUGAGUAACAAGUGGGUAACCUCCCAUCAGAGGGGAUAAAACUUGGAAACAGGUGCUAACCCGCUACUGGUGGAUGGACCCGCGGUGCAUUAGCUAGUUGGUGAGGUAACGGCUAACCAAGGCCACGAUGCAUAGCCGACCUGAGAGUGUGAUCGGCCACACUGGGACUGGGACACGGUCCAGAGUCCUACGGGAGGCAGCAGUAGGGAAUCGUCGGCAAUGGGCGAAAGUCUGACCGAGCCAUGCCGCGUGAGUGAAGAAGGUUUUCGGAUCGUAAAACUCUGUUGUUGGAGAAGCGGUAGCUACCCAGAAAGCCACGGCGAACUACGUGCCAGCAGCCGCGGUAAUUC
rnacentral:rRNA from 1 species